CUUGAACACUUUUGCUGAUGAACUUGACUUCCGCCUUCAAAGCGAUUUUAAUGAGAGGAGGUGCGGAAGACCUACUUAAAACCUGAGAGUCCCGAAUAGGAGAGGCGCUUUCAGACCAGUCCGAGUCUUCUGCAACGCACAGGAGCUAGUCGUACUGAAAAGAAUGAAGUUGGACUUGUCCAGGCGAGUUUCGGACAGUGCUGGGCUGCACUGCUCUGAUCUGGGUGUCUUCACCUCCUCUGGCUCCUAAGUCGGCUGCUGCACCAGCACCCAUCAAACUCUCCUGGAAGAGGAAGUGACAGCUCACCAGUAGCCUAGAAGGCCCCUGUGGGCAGAAGCUUGGACUUACUCCUCCUCAUGGAGAUGCGGCUGAGCCAUAUUUCCUUGGCACCACUCUGGAACCUU
rnacentral:lncRNA from 1 species